CUAAAAGCCUCCAACGAUGGAGAUUCCAGAACCUCCAAGGACAAUUUAUUCCAGUGCUUAACCACCCUGAGAGAAAGUUUUUCCUAAUGUCCAAACUAAACCUUCCUUGCUGCAAUUUCAGCCCACUGCUUCUCGUCCUAUCCUCAGAGGUUAACAGGAACAUUU